CAGUUUUGUGCGAAACCGCAGAGCAUUCUGGUCGAAAGCGAUUUGCAUCGCUCCUUGCAAGAAAUCUCUGAUUGAUGGGCCGACUUGGGCAGACACAAUUAUAUGAAUUGGCAGCGGCUUGCGUGUAAUUAGUGAUCGAUUUUUGUUCUUUUCGGCGGUGAAGUGGCCUUUGGAAAACUAGACAGCUCACGGAAUGCACAGAAUGCUCAACUAUGUCACGCUCUGAACAACUUUCCGAGCAGAUUACUGUAAUUAACUUGUUCUAAUCGGUUUUCGACGCGGUGAUGAGGCAAAACUCAAAGUGUGUGGCGACUUAAGCUAAUUACAACUUACUACACAUGUGUAACCCACUCUACAGCGAGCUUCAAGUUCAUAAAAAUAGCUACCAUUAUCCUGACUUAUAUAAUUUAUUGGGUAAACCAGUCCUGUUUAUUAUCAACUGCUAGCAACUUCAAUUGCCAACUUAAACAUCUCAUUACCAAUUCAAAGAGAAACACUCUCGCACAAACAGGGACAUCCCAUUUCGGAGGACAUAACUCAUCUCCUCUGAUUCAGUGUGGCAAAUAGGAAUAGCAGGCCUGCGGCAAAGACACAAGGAGGCGCACUCAAGACAUAGCCGCACCCGCUUUCAAUGCGGAAUUUAAUUGCCAUAUAAAUGAAGGACAGCUAGAGGAGUCAGAGGAGCCUCCUCCCCGAAGACUAAUUGCCGAGCGGCACAAACGCAGCACACAGUAUUGAUCGAUGUGGCAAGUCACGAUGCUGCCGCUCAACCAGUUGGGGCAAACUGUUGCAUGUGACCCACAAAUGAGGCCAACUGUAAAAUGGGCACCAAGGCGCAGGACCUAGCAAAACUGAGCCUACUUCGAAUGGUCCUUGGCGCAAUGCCGCACGUACGAUUGCCGCCAGUCAUUCAACAGAGAUGGCGAAUUCCCUGGGAGCUAUUCUCCAAGGGGCAACUUGUCCCCCGCACCAGCCAAUUUCGACUGCCACCCGCUGGUAAUUAAAUGAAAUUUCAUUAAUUGAGCCUUAGACUCUUUGCAUUCAUUAACUACACACUCUCUCAAGUGUCGGGGCUGGGCCAAAGCAAAUUGAACUGCUACAUUUGAAAAUGCCUAUGCUGAGAUGACAGAGGCGUAUCAUAAAUGGAAAGUCCUAAAUUAAAUGCAUAAUAAAUUAAACUAAAUUAAACUAUAAGAUUCAUAUUUAUGACACAAAAAUCCAAUAGAUUACCUGCACACAUGUCCAAAAGUAUGCAGUGGAAAUGAGCUAAAGAUAAUUCUGCUAUAAUACUCCUAUAUUCGAGAUGGAAAAUACUUAAAGAUAUACUUUCUAACAACUUUAUACAAAUAUUUUUUUGGGUGAAUGCUGUGGCAUCUUUCAUAUAACUGUGCUUAGAACCUUGAAUAUAUGUCAAUGCAAAAUGAACAAAUGUCAGUACAUUCAAAAUAAUAAUUAUAGAUACUUUGGUUUGCUAUUUGUUUAAUUUCUUUGCUAACCCCUUUUUUGUGCGCCCCUGUUCUGUGGCAAUUACGUAUAUUUUGCCAUGCCAUAGAUAACUGCUGCAUCAUCAGCGUUGCACAGCAGCUUCAUCGUAGCCAUCAACAUUUGCCAGCUCCCAACGGCAGCUACAUUUUCAGUGUCAAUUACUGCAAUUUCUUUGGAGUCCCCCCAUCGACUUCAAAUUGGAAGUGCAGUUUUAGCAUUUCUUUUUUUUUGUUUACCCGGAAGUGUAUUUCUGAAUAUGUGCUGAUGACCAUUCCAUCUCAUCCAUAAUCCCAAUCCACCGACCAACAGUUGGCCCAGUGUCUGUUAUUAGGCAGCAUCGUUUUGUGUGCUGUUUGUGUUUUGCCAAAGUUGUUGGCAAAUUGUUUUCCCCGGAAAAACUCUUUCGUAGCUGGCUAACCCAAAGUCUUGUCUACCGCUACUGUUGUUAUUGUUGAGGCUUUUUAUACCCUUACAAGGAGGUAUACUGAUUGCAGUAAGAAGUUUGCACUAAAUGAGGCAUUCAGGACCAUACAAAAUAUAAAUAUAUACUACCAUAUAUACUAUAAUACUCUUUUGUUCAUAAAUAAUUCAUUUAUUUUUAAAUAUAUUAAUACUGCAAGGGUAUAUAAGCAUUGGCUUGCCAAAGCUAGAUUCAUUUCUUGUUUUUUUUUUAUUGACUGUUUGCACUUUUUUCAAUGGGAACCAAAACAAUUCAACUAAAUUCAUUGGUAAAACAUAAAGCAACUAAAAGUCAAAUGAUAUUUAUUACUUUUCUUUGUGAAAAGUUUCAAAAACUUUUGUUCCGACUUUAUGAAGGGGAAAUAAUUUGGCUCAAGUUGUGAAGAGUUUAAUGAAAUUUUGAUUACUGGAAAGAGAUGACUCUAUAUAAUAAUAAAAAUUAUUGCAGUUCGAACAUUAU